CCCUUCAUUGUUGACCAGUGGAAAACUUCCCGCCGAGGUGUUUCAAAUAGCACUUUGUCUUUAAACGAACAAGAUGGACACAUGCAGUUUACAGAAGCAAAAGAUUUGAUUUGAACUGUUCGUGAAACCACACAUACUCAAGAGAAUUUACAAGACUAUUAUCCACAAAAUGCAACAGUCUUAUUUUGAUGAAUUGUUGAACCAGAGAAAUGUGAAGACUUACAGACACCUAGACUGUAUAGUCAACGUAACAAUGAUUAGAGAAUCAGACUACAGUGAACAUUACAAUGAUUAGAAAAUCAGACUAGAGUCAACAUUACAAUGAUUAGAGAAUCAGACUAUAGUCAACAUUACAAUGAUUAGAAAAUCAGCCAGCUGCAUUUCAUCAAUCAGUUUAUGAUGAAGCUUUACAGCAUUGGAAAUGAUUACUCAGGGACCAAACAACUGAACAGAAAAAAGAACCGUAUGACCUUGAAGAGUAAGCAAUGUAUUAAGUAUAUUUGGGGUUACCAAAGAGUAUGGUAAGAACCUCAUCUUAAAUUAUACUUGAGUUCUUACAAAGAUGCAUAGGUAUAAAAUAUUUAUUAUUUUUUGUCUUUUGGUGUAUUUUUGUCAAUGAGUUAAAACCCAAAGAACAGUACAUCGAUCAGAAGUAAUAAGUUUGACUAGUGUAAUUUGAGAGAGAACACUCUGGAACACAAAAAAUAUCCUACCUCAUAAAAAUUUAACACGACAUCUUAUUUUCACCUUCUUUCAUUGAAGCAGCACACAGUGUAGUCAAGAAUGUAUGCAUGUCCUUGAACUUCUAGAAAUACAAUACCUCUAAUAGUUAAAACAGUCUGGUAUAAUGGUCAACAAGAGCUACAUAAAAAAAAGGAAGAUACCAAAGUUAAAUUAAAAAAAUAUGUAUUUAAUUUUUGAAAUUUACCUCAAAGAAAAUAAAAUAAAGUUUAAUUGAUUUUUUUCUUAUAUGUGUAAUGUUGUAUAUGUAUUUUUAUUUCAUUUCAGAGUUCAACAACAGAUUAUUAAUUCUAUUAUUUUGUUUUUCGCAGAUUGCAGCAGUGGGAUGUUACAGUCAUAGACGUUGGAUAGACUCCGUUGUACUAGGCCAGGGAGGGUAGCGCAGAGUUUCCGCAGCACUAUACAAUAGUAACAAGAUCACUCUACCAUGAGCUUGUUAAAGGGCCCGUUUGAUGAAAGUGACAACAACGUUCUCCACGACACUACAGAUUUUUUUUUGCAGAUGCAGCCGAGAGGAUGUUUCAGUCAUGGACUCAUUUGAUGGAAGUGACACCAACAUUCUCAAACACUAAUAAUUUACAAAUUUGUUUUUGUUGUAGAUGCAACCUCAGUCAUACACCCUAGAGUUUGGCUAUGUGUGACAGAAGAAGAGUGGCAUGUAGAUUUCUUUUA